rnacentral:rRNA from 1 species
GACGAACGCUGGCGGCGUGCCUAAUACAUGCAAGUCGAACGCACUCUCGUUUAGAUUGAAGGAGUUUGCUCCUGAUUGAUAAACAUUUGAGUGAGUGGCGGACGGGUGAGUAACACGUGGGUAACCUGCCCUAAAGUGGGGGAUAACAUUUGGAAACAGAUGCUAAUACCGCAUAAAACCUAACACCGCAUGGUGUAGGGUUGAAAGAUGGUUUCGGCUAUCACUUUAGGAUGGACCCGCGGUGCAUUAGUUAGUUGGUGAGGUAAAGGCUCACCAAGACCGUGAUGCAUAGCCGACCUGAGAGGGUAAUCGGCCACACUGGGACUGAGACACGACCCAGACUCCUACGGGAGGCAGCAGUAGGGAAUCUUCCACAAUGGACGAAAGUCUGAUGGAGCAACGCCGCGUGAGUGAAGAAGGUUUUCGGAUCGUAAAACUCUGUUGUUGGAGAAGAAUGUAUCUGAUAGUAACUGAUCAGGUAGUGACGGUAUCCAACCAGAAAGCCACGGCUAACUACGUG